UCAUCACGUGGUCUUAUAGAGGAUCACGUGUAGAAGCAAUCACAGCGCCAUCACGCGCUCAGAGAUCUCACUGCAGUUUAAGCUGAUAUUUCCAGUAACUCACAGUCAACUCUGUUGGAUCCCAAAAACUCAUUGUUAGUAGCCAAAGGUCCGGAGCCUCCCAAGAGGUCAUGUGGUAAAAAAAAAUCCAAAAAAAAACAUGGGCACCGAAUACUAAACCGAGGGCACUGAUUGCUUUACUGGUCCGGAUUCAACGUUCUGCACGUGAACUGGAAGGAAGGAGCUCAUACAGCCAGCGCAACAACUUGAAGAAUGGAUCAGAGAUUCAUAGAUUGGAUCAGGCCAUCAUCUCCAUGUAUGUGAAUGAGAAGGUUCUUCACUGGAUACGAACAGUUAUUGUCUUGUCCUCACACCCUCCAAAUUGUCUGCCAUGGAUGGAUCACAGCUUAUUGAACUUUAUCUUUUGGAUCUUAUAUACAGACAUUUUCCACAUUCUAUGUGUUAUUCAGUUCAAUUCAAUGCAAAUCUAUUUGUAUAGCACUUUUUACAAUUGACAAUGUCUCAAAGCAACU